GGAGCUUGCUCUGUGGGAUCAGUGGCGAACGGGUGAGUAACACGUGAGCAACCUGCCCCUGACUCUGGGAUAAGCGCUGGAAACGGCGUCUAAUACUGGAUACGAGUAGCGGCCGCAUGGUCAGUUACUGGAAAGAUUUUUUGGUUGGGGAUGGGCUCGCGGCCUAUCAGCUUGUUGGUGAGGUAAUGGCUCACCAAGGCGUCGACGGGUAGCCGGCCUGAGAGGGUGACCGGCCACACUGGGACUGAGACACGGCCCAGACUCCUACGGGAGGCAGCAGUGGGGAAUAUUGCACAAUGGGCGAAAGCCUGAUGCAGCAACGCCGCGUGAGGGAUGACGGCCUUCGGGUUGUAAACCUCUUUUAGCAGGGAAGAAGCGAAAGUGACGGUACCUGCAGAAAAAGCGCCGGCUAACUACGUGCCAGCAGCCGCGGUAAUACGUAGGGCGCAAGCGUUAUCCGGAAUUAUUGGGCGUAAAGAGCUCGUAGGCGGUUUGUCGCGUCUGCUGUGAAAUCCCGAGGCUCAACCUCGGGCCUGCAGUGGGUACGGGCAGACUAGAGUGCGGUAGGGGAGAUUGGAAUUCCUGGUGUAGCGGUGGAAUGCGCAGAUAUCAGGAGGAACACCGAUGGCGAAGGCAGAUCUCUGGGCCGUAACUGACGCUGAGGAGCG
rnacentral:rRNA from 1 species